AAGGCAGCAGGCGCGCAAAUUACCCAAUCCCGAUACGGGGAGGUAGUGACAAUAAAUACUGAUACGGGGCUCUUUUGGGUCUCGUAAUUGGAAUGAGAACAAUUUAAAUCCCUUAACGAGGAACAAUUGGAGGGCAAGUCUGGUGCCAGCAGCCGCGGUAAUUCCAGCUCCAAUAGCGUAUAUUAAAGUUGUUGCAGUUAAAAAGCUCGUAGUUGAACCUUGGGUCUGGCUGGCCGGUCCGCCUCACCGCGAGUACUGGUCCGGCUGGACCUUUCCUUCUGGGGAACCCCAUGGCCUUCACUGGCUGUGGGGGGAACCAGGACUUUUACUGUGAAAAAAUUAGAGUGUUCAAAGCAGGCCUUUGCUCGAAUACAUUAGCAUGGAAUAAUAGAAUAGGACGUGCGGUUCUAUUUUGUUGGUUUCUAGGACCGCCGUAAUGAUUAAUAGGGAUAGUCGGGGGCGUCAGUAUUCAGCUGUCAGAGGUGAAAUUCUUGGAUUUGCUGAAGACUAACUACUGCGAAAGCAUUCGCCAAGGAUGUUUUCAUUAAUCAGGGAACGAAAGUUAGGGGAUCGAAGACGAUCAGAUACCGUCGUAGUCUUAACCAUAAACUAUGCCGACUAGGGAUCGGACGGGACUCUAUGAUGACCCGUUCGGCACCUUACGAGAAAUCAAAGUUUUUGGGUUC
rnacentral:rRNA from 1 species